GACGAACGCUGGCGGCGUGCUUAACACAUGCAAGUCGAACGGAAAGGCCCUGCUUUUGUGGGGUGCUCGAGUGGCGAACGGGUGAGUAACACGUGAGUAACCUGCCCUUGACUUUGGGAUAACUUCAGGAAACUGGGGCUAAUCCCGGAUAGGAGCUCCUGCUGCGUGGUGGGGGUUGGAAAGUUUCGGCGGGUGGGGAUGGACUCGCGGCUUAUCAGCUUGUUGGUGGGGUAGUGGCUUACCAAGGCUUUGACGGGUAGCCGGCCUGUGAGGGUGACCGGCCACAUUGGGACUGAGAUACGGCCCAGACUCCUACGGGAGGCAGCAGUGGGGAGUAUUGCACAAUGGGCGGAAGCCUGAUGCAGCAACGCCGCGUGCGGGAUGACGGCCUUCGGGUUGUAAACCGCUUUCGCCUGUGACGAGGCGUGAGUGACGGUAAUGGGUAAAGAAGCACCGGCUAACUACGUG
rnacentral:rRNA from 1 species